UACGUAGGGACCAAGCGUUGUUCGGAUUUACUGGGCGUAAAGGGCGCGUAGGCGGAUGGCACAGUCAGAUGUGAAAUUCCCGGGCUUAACCUGGGGGCUGCAUUUGAUACGUGUUGUCUUGAGUUCGGAAGAGGGUCGUGGAAUUCCCAGUGUAGAGGUGAAAUUCGUAGAUAUUGGGAAGAACACCGGUGGCGAAGGCGGCGACCUGGUCCGACACUGACGCUGAGGCGCGAAAGCGUGGGGAGCAAACAGG
rnacentral:rRNA from 1 species